rnacentral:rRNA from 1 species
AAUGAACGCUGGCGGCAGGCCUAACACAUGCAAGUCGAGCGAGCGGCGGACGGGUGAGUAAUGUCUGGGAAACUGCCUGACGGAGGGGGAUAACUACUGGAAACGGUAGCUAAUACCGCAUACCAUCAGAUGUGCCCAGAUGGGAUUAGCUGGUAGGUGGGGUAACGGCUCACCUAGGCGACGAUCCCUAGCUGGUCUGAGAGGAUGACCAGCCACACUGGAAUUGAACCGCGGUCCAGCCUCCUACGGGAGGCAGCAGAGGGGAAUAUUGGACAAUGGGCGCAAGCCUAAUGCAGCCAGGCGGCGUGUGUGAAGAAGGCUUUCGGGUUGUAAGGCACUUUCUGCGGGGAGGCGUUACCCGCAGAAGAAGCACCGGCUAACUCCGUGCCAGCAGCCGCGGUAAUUC